AGAAAACAAAGAGAAGGAGAAGAAGAAGGAGAAAGAAGAGGAAGGAAGGGAGGAAGAGAGAGAGAUCAAACCUUGACCGUUUUGGGUGAUUCAAAAGCCUAAAUCGCUUAGAAUCUCGCCCUCUUUCAUAAUCCAAGCUUAGUUUUAAGUGGGGAGCUUUGUGUGGUGAGAUAUUGGCUCUCAAAAAUUCGGCCCUUUGGAGAAAUUUGGGGUUUUGAGAGUUUCUACCUCCAUUGAAGCUUGAGGAGCCAUCAAUCCUUGGUUGUGUGACCAUUGGUGGAUUGAGACAUUUGGACCGACCGUGAGUGAUCAACCGCUUGAACAAGCUAUGGAGCUUGAGUAGCUCAUUGGAAUUGGUGUUGUUUUUGGAGUAGAGUAUUGUUGACAUUGGUGGUGAACAAAGGUCGAAUUGAAGCUUGAGGUAAGGAUGCCGCAGGAGCCUCUGGUGGCAAGUGGCCAUAUCUGGAUUAUGCAUGAAAUGUGGCAUUUCUUUUGAGUUUAUGCAUGCCUUUUGUAGUUGACAUGUAUAGGAUUUUAUUUUGAAAGCCCAUGGUCAUUUGUAUAUCUUGAUUCAUUGGAUGAACUUAGCCUAUGCUCAUGCCUUUGGUUACACCUUUUGUUGAUGGGAGCCAAGGGAAUGAUCAUAGUGUUUUGUAAGCUAAGUUCUAUGAUUUGUAAAGGAUAUGUAAUGUAAAUGAUGCCUACUUGAAAUUCAA